CCCUGAGGCCGGGAGGGCCAGGCUCCCCUGCUGGCCUCGGGGUUCGCGGAGGGCAGGUGAAACUCGUCCCCUGCGGACGUCUGCCGCACGCCAGCGGCGGGCGGCUGAGGUACGUUUCAACUCGGCAGGUAUCUGCCGGGCUAGCUGGAUACUCCGCCCGACGUGACUACAAGGUAAAGAAUGCAAAGAACCACCCCGUGAAUCAUUCAUCCACUCCUCCUCGGGAAACAAGAUCCUCCCCUGAAUGAUUUUUCCAAGUUAAUUCAAUUCAGCAAGCGUUUACUGAACACUGACUCGGUACCUAGCGCUGUGCCGGGUGCUGCGUGGGUACACCAUCCCGGUCACGGUCCUUGGUCUCGAGAAGCGCAUAACUUAGUGGAAAAGCAGCCGUAUAAACAACCUGGACUGGUGACCCGUGCAAAGCCAGUCACAGGGAGAUGCUGUGGAGGGCUUCGGAGCAAGAGAUCACUUCCGCUUGGACCGUGGAGACAGGUUCCUAGAAGAGGUGGCAUUUGUGUUCAGCCUUGAAGGAAGAAAAGGACAGAGGCUUAGUAGAAAAGGGGAAGGGCAUCGAAGACGAGGAAAACAGCUUGGGCAAAUGAACAAAGGGUCGCCAAGGUUUCCCAUCUCAGCAUCGGUUUUUUUCUUUUAAUGUUAUACAUUUUUGAUAGAGUCCUUUCCAAACCAUGUAAAACAUAAGAUGAUUCCAAGUUAGAGACAGCUAAGCCUUUUUAAUGACUCCAAAGCAUCAUUUUCCUCAACGCUCUUUAAGGCUGAACAGAGCAGUGUGCUUCAAGGACUACUGCAUGUGAGUGAAGUGUGUUGACUCCCUCAGUGAAGAGACCCGAAGCCAGCCUGUUUUCAGUCUGGUAUUGACUGCUUUUUGGCACCUUAUGAUGAGGCAGAUCGAGCCACCUGCUGCUGUCUGCCUGCCUUCAGAACAAACUCUUCCUCCUCCUCUCAUCUUCCUAUUUUUAAACCCCUAUGGUGAAGGAAAAAUGCUGGCAACCAACUUUGUUGAGUGGGAGUAAACAGAUUCCUCAGAAAAAGGCAUCACCUUUCCCGUGGGACCCUCGGGACAACUUGGCAUGCUUAGCAGACAUGAUCGCUUGGAUGCAGGGCCUCGACUGCGUUCUGGAUGUGUUAAGAUGCUAAGAAUACAAAGAAGAGACAUCUUGUUUAUUCAUUUACCACUUCUGAGCACCAACUGUGUAGGAGGCAUUGAAAGGCUAGCACUCCAACUUCUAGGAAUUCACCCAAAAGAUGCCUCCAAGGGUACGACACACUCUUACACGUGUGAGCUUCCGCAUCGUAGCAACAUUUGAAGAACAUUGGAAACUGCCUGAAUGCCCAAACAUGGAAGACGGGGUCACCCGGGAAGAGGAGCACAGUGAACCUCCCAGGCCGCUCAGGGCCGCAGGUUUGGCCAGGCAGGAGCCCACCGUGUCGGGAAGGAAGCUGGAGGAGGCACAGAGCUGCCGAG